GACAGAGGGUGCAAGCGUUGUUCGGAAUUACUGGGCAUAAAGCGCACGUAGGCGGUUCGCUAAGUCUGUCGUGAAAUCCCCCGGCUCAACCGGGGAAUAGCGUCGGAUACUGGCGAGCUCGAGGUCGAUAGGGGUAAGUGGAACUCCAGGUGGAGCGGUGAAAUGCGUAGAUAUCUGGAGGAACACCGGUGGCGAAGGCGGGUCUCUGGGCCGUAACUGACGCUGAGGAGCGAAAGCAUGGGGAGCGAACAGG
rnacentral:rRNA from 1 species